CAGCAAUUAAUAAAGCCAUGUGCUCUGCCCGUCGCCGCUCCCUCACUGUCUCGUAUAGAAUUUCUGGUUUUCGAACACGCCGCAGUUUUUUUUUGCUUACUUUUUAGUUGUAUUCCUUUGCCGGCGCACUGUACCGCGUGAAUUAAACACUUUGGAUUCGAUCUAGAGAAGGUGGUUUCGCUUAAUCAGACAAACUCAAUUGGUAGAAUAAUGCCAACACUUCAAAUGUAGCACUGCCUGGCCACCAAAAAUCGGAGGUAGCUCCCACAAUAACCCGCUCCGGCGGCAAACCAAACAGCAAAUGGCAUUGUGGCGCGCUGAGCAUAUCUCUUAAAUACGAAAUGGCCAGAGAGAAAGAGAAACGCAGCCGGCUUGCUCACAAAAAGUGUAUAUAGUCGGCCGCUAUAUCGGCUAUACCUGGUAUGAGAGGAUUCUAAGGAGAAUAAUAGCGAGAGGCGAUGGGAACAAAGGACACUGGCAAGGAUGUGCUGAAUAGGGUAGUGAGAGAAUAAAAGCCCCCACUCCACUACUCCUACUCCACUGGAGGGAGCAGAAACUUAAAAAGGGCAAGAGCCGGCUUCAUCCCGCCGCUUGGAUGACGAAAUCAAAGACUUGCUUUUCAGGACUUGCUUUGGCGGAAACUCUAAACUUUCAAUUCGAUACAUCCUUUGGGAAAGAAAUGGCCAAUCAUCAUUGCAUCAGCCAUUGAACUGCAAUUGUAGUUCUGGGAACCACCACAUGCCUGUUAUUAUUUG